GCUGGCGCGUGCCUAAUACAUGCAAGUCGAGCGAACGGACGAGAAGCUUGCUUCUCUGAUGUUAGCGGCGGACGGGUGAGUAACACGUGGAUAACCUACCUAUAAGACUGGGAUAACUUCGGGAAACCGGAGCUAAUACCGGAUAAUAUUUUGAACCGCAUGGUUCAAAAGUGAAAGACGGUCUUGCUGUCACUUAUAGAUGGAUCCGCGCUGCAUUAGCUAGUUGGUAAGGUAACGGCUUACCAAGGCAACGAUGCAUAGCCGACCUGAGAGGGUGAUCGGCCACACUGGAACUGAGACACGGUCCAGACUCCUACGGGAGGCAGCAGUAGGGAAUCUUCCGCAAUGGGCGAAAGCCUGACGGAGCAACGCCGCGUGAGUGAUGAAGGUCUUCGGAUCGUAAAACUCUGUUAUUAGGGAAGAACAUAUGUGUAAGUAACUGUGCACAUCUUGACGGUACCUAAUCAGAAAGCCACGGCUAACUACGUGCCAGCAGCCGCGGUAAUACGUAGGUGGCAAGCGUUAUCCGGAAUUAUUGGGCGUAAAGCGCGCGUAGGCGGUUUUUUAAGUCUGAUGUGAAAGCCCACGGCUCAACCGUGGAGGGUCAUUGGAAACUGGAAAACUUGAGUGCAGAAGAGGAAAGUGGAAUUCCAUGUGUAGCGGUGAAAUGCGCAGAGAUAUGGAGGAACACCAGUGGCGAAGGCGACUUUCUGGUCUGUAACUGACGCUGAUGUGCGAAAGCGUGGGGAUCAAACAGGAUUAGAUACCCUGGUAGUCCACGCCGUAAACGAUGAGUGCUAAGUGUUAGGGGGUUUCCGCCCCUUAGUGCUGCAGCUAACGCAUUAAGCACUCCGCCUGGGGAGUACGACCGCAAGGUUGAAACUCAAAGGAAUUGACGGGGACCCGCACAAGCGGUGGAGCAUGUGGUUUAAUUCGAAGCAACGCGAAGAACCUUACCAAAUCUUGACAUCCUUUGACAACUCUAGAGAUAGAGCCUUCCCCUUCGGGGGACAAAGUGACAGGUGGUGCAUGGUUGUCGUCAGCUCGUGUCGUGAGAUGUUGGGUUAAGUCCCGCAACGAGCGCAACCUUAAGCUUAGUUGCCUCAUUAAGUUGGGCACUUUAAGUUGACUGCCGUGACAACCGGAGG
rnacentral:rRNA from 1 species